rnacentral:rRNA from 1 species
GACGAACGCUGGCGGCGUGCCUAAUACAUGCAAGUAGAACGCUGAAGCUUGGUGCUUGCACCGAGCGGAUGAGUUGCUAACGGGUGAGUAACGCGUAGGUAACCUGCCUGGUAGCGGGGGAUAACUAUUGGAAACGAUAGCUAAUACCGCAUAAGAGUAGAUGUUGCAUGACAUUUGCUUAAAAGGUGCAAUUGCAUCACUACCAGAUGGACCUGCGUUGUAUUAGCUAGUUGGUGAGGUAACGGCUCACCAAGGCAACGAUACAUAGCCGACCUGAGAGGGUGAUCGGCCACACUGGGACUGAGACACGGCCCAGACUCCUACGGGAGGCAGCAGUAGGGAAUCUUCGACAAUGGACGGAAGUCUGACCGAGCAACGCCGCGUGAGUGAAGAAGGUUUUCGGAUCGUAAAGCUCUGUUGUAAGGGAAGAACGAGUGUGAGAGUGGAAAGUUCAGACUGGGACGGUAUCUUACCAGAAAGGGACGGCUACCUACGU